GAUGAACGCUAGCGACAGGCCUAACACAUGCAAGUCGAGGGGCAGCACAUGAGUAGCAAUACGAUGGUGGCGACCGGCGCACGGGUGAGUAACACGUAUGCAACCUACCGGUAAAAGGGGGAUAGCCUCUCGAAAGAGAGAUUAAUACCGCAUAAUAUCUUUGGAUGGCAUCAUUUAGAGAUUAAACAUUUAUGGUUUACCGAUGGGCAUGCGUAUGAUUAGCUAGUAGGUGAGGUAACGGCUCACCUAGGCAACGAUCAUUAGGGGUUCUGAGAGGAAGGUCCCCCACACUGAUACUGAGACACGGACCUGACUCCUACGGGAGGCAGCAGUGAGGAAUAUUGGUCAAUGGGCGAGAGCCUGAACCAGCCAAGUCGCGUGAAGGAUGAAGGUUCUAUGGAUUGUAAACUUCUUUUGUAAGGGAAUAAAAAGUGGUACGUGUACCAUAUUGUAUGUACUUUACGAAUAAGGAUCGGCUAACUCCGUGCCAGCCGCCGCUUAAGAC
rnacentral:rRNA from 1 species